UGGUGGGAACUCAAGGGAGACUGCCGGUGACAAACCGGAGGAAGGUGGGGAUGACGUCAAGUCAUCAUGGCCCUUACGAGUAGGGCUACACACGUGCUACAAUGGCAGAUACAAAGUGAAGCGAACUCGCGAGAGCCAGCGGACCACAUAAAGUCUGUCGUAGUCCGGAUUGGAGUCUGCAACUCGACUCCAUGAAGUCGGAAUCGCUAGUAAUCGUAGAUCAGAAUGCUACGGUGAAUACGUUCCCGGGCCUUGUACACACCGCCCGUCACACCAUGGGAGUGGGUUGCAAAAGAAGUAGGUAGCUUAACCUUCGGGAGGGCGCUUACCACUUUGUGAUUCAUGACUGGGGUGAA
rnacentral:rRNA from 1 species